rnacentral:rRNA from 1 species
AGCAGCCGCGGUAAUUCCAGCUCCAAUAGCGUAUAUUAAAGUUGUUGCAGUUAAAAAGCUCGUAGUUGAACUUCGGGGUUCACCCAUUGGUCAGGCUUAAUUGUCAGUACUGGUGAGAUGAGUCUCUACCUUCUGAGGAACUUUCAUGCCAUUUAUUUGGUGUGAUUGGAAAUCAGGACUGUUACUUUGAAAAAAUUAGAGUGUUUAAAGCAGGCUAACGUCUGAAUACAUUAGCAUGGAAUAAUGAAAUAGGACGGAUUGAUCCUAUUUCGUUGGUUUCUAGGGUCACCGUAAUGAUUAAUAGGGAUAGUUGGGGGCAUCAGUAUUCAAUUGUCAGAGGUGAAAUUCUUGGAUUUAUUGAAGACUAACUACUGCGAAAGCAUUUGCCAAGGAUGUUUUCAUUAAUCAAGAACGAAAGUUAGGGGAUCGAAGACGAUCAGAUACCGUCGUAGUCUUAACCAUAAACUAUGCCGACUAGGGAUCGGACGCAGUUAAUUUUAUAAUGACGUG